rnacentral:rRNA from 1 species
AGUGAACGCUGGCGGUAGGCCUAACACAUGCAAGUCGAACGGCAGCACAGUAAGAGCUUGCUCUUACGGGUGGCGAGUGGCGGACGGGUGAGGAAUACAUCGGAAUCUACUUUUUCGUGGGGGAUAACGUAGGGAAACUUAUGCUAAUACCGCAUACGACCUACGGGUGAAAGCAGGGGAUCUUCGGACCUUGCGCGAUUGAAUGAGCCGAUGUCGGAUUAGCUAGUUGGCGGGGUAAAGGCCCACCAAGGCGACGAUCCGUAGCUGGUCUGAGAGGAUGAUCAGCCACACUGGAACUGAGACACGGUCCAGACUCCUACGGGAGGCAGCAGUGGGGAAUAUUGGACAAUGGGCGCAAGCCUGAUCCAGCCAUACCGCGUGGGUGAAGAAGGCCUUCGGGUUGUAAAGCCCUUUUGUUGGGAAAGAAAAGCAGCAGGUUAAUACCCCGCUGUUCUGACGGUACCAAAAGAAUAAGCACCGGCUAACUUCGUG